rnacentral:rRNA from 1 species
AACGAACGCUGGCGGCAUGCCUAACACUUGCAAGUCGAACGAGACCUUCGGGUCUAGUGGCGCACGGGUGCGUAACGCGUGGGAACCUGCCCUUAGGUUCGGAAUAACUCCCCGAAAGGGGUGCUAAUACCGGAUAAUGUCUUCGGACCAAAGAUUUAUCGCCUUUGGAUGGGCCCGCGUUGGAUUAGCUAGUUGGUAGGGUAAAAGCCUACCAAGGCGACGAUCCAUAGCUGGUCUGAGAGGAUGAUCAGCCACACUGGGACUGAGACACGGCCCCGACUCCUACGGGAGGGCGGCGGUGGGAAUAUUGGAACAUGGGCGAAAGCCUGAUCCAGCAAUGCCGCGUGAGUGAUGAAGGCCUUAGGGUUGUAAAGCUCUUUUACCCGGGAUGAUAAUGACAGUACCGGGAGAAUAAGCUCCGGCUAACUCCGUG